rnacentral:rRNA from 1 species
CGCGGCCUAUCAGCUUGUUGGUGAGGUAAUGGCUCACCAAGGCGACGACGGGUAGCCGGCCUGAGAGGGCGACCGGCCACACUGGGACUGAGAUACGGCCCAGACUCCUACGGGAGGCAGCAGUGGGGAAUAUUGCACAAUGGGCGAAAGCCUGAUGCAGCGACGCCGCGUGAGGGAUGGAGGCCUUCGGGUUGUAAACCUCUUUCAGCAGGGAAGAAGCGCAAGUGACGGUACCUGCAGAAGAAGCGCCGGCUAACUACGUGCCAGCAGCCGCGGUAAUACGUAGGGCGCAAGCGUUGUCCGGAAUUAUUGGGCGUAAAGAGCUCGUAGGCGGUCUGUCGCGUCCGUUGUGAAAACUCGAGGCUCAACCUCGGGCUUGCAGUGGAUACGGGCAGACUAGAGUGCGGUAGGGGAGACUGGAAUUCCUGGUGUAGCGGUGGAAUGCGCAGAUAUCAGGAGGAACACCGAUGGCGAAGGCAGGUCUCUGGGCCGCAACUGACGCUGAGGAGCGAAAGCAUGGGGAGCGAACAGGAUUAGAUACCCUGGUAGUCCAUGCCGUAAACGUUGGGCACUAGGUGUGGGGCUCAUUCCACGAGUUCUGUGCCGCAGCUAACGCAUUAAGUGCCCCGCCUGGGGAGUACGG